GUUGACAUGGCACUGACGUGUCGCGAAUAUAAUACUCUCCAUUAUGAAGUGGUAUUACAUUUUGGAGGUUGUAUUUAAUAUAUGCGAAAGUUGUUUGGGGGUAAAUAAUUGUCGAUAAAGUUAAAGUGUUAAAGUAAGUUGUGGUGACAAGUUCACGGGAUAUUUAUGCUUUUUCCCAAAUAAGAAGCAUAGGUAAAUAAUAAACAACAUUAAAUUUAUGUCUUACAUUUUAACACAUCAUCAUAGAAAAACAUAGAUCUCAAUAAAAUUUUAUUUUGAUUUGUCAUAUCAUAAUUUUCACUUAAAUACCCAAGCAAUUAGAUGGUGUGGUUGAAGAAAUCCCUUUGAGUGCAGAUUCAAUAUUGUUUACACUAAUCUUUGAUUUUAACUCGUUAAUUUUUUUAACCAAAUCUCUUUCAAAAUUCCUGAUCUCUUGUGACAGCUGCUCCUCAAGUCUUUCUGAAUUAGUCCCCCUUGAAAUUUUCCAAUGUAGAGCCCUCAGAGUUACCUUCAUUGGCUAUUCUUUUUUCCUUGUCAUCGAUUAUCAUCCUUUUCUUUUGAUCCAUCUUCACAUAUCUUUUGUGAUGACAAUUUUUUUCAACUGUCAUCCUACAACAUGAGGAACACUCAGUUGCUUGUUUUGACUGCGAAAAUCGAUCAAUGACCGAUUCAAUAUUUGGCGUACCAAAUAUAAAUGGUUUGCCUAUAACGAAAAUAAUGAUAAUCGUGAAUUCGAUUCCGCAGAGAACAGAAAGAUCUGUAGCUUGCUUAUAGAGAGCUUUCUACUUAUUGGAGAACAUAAUCUCCUCAGAUUGCUUCUCUUUUGGAAGCUUCCUAUUACUUCUUUCUUGCAUCGUGAAACUUUUCUUGCCAUGAAUAUAAUAAGAGAUAUGGUAUAUGAAUCUUUUGUUGAAUGAGUAUGUGAAUUAGAGUGAGUAUAGAUGAGAACAAGUCUCUGUAUUUAUAGCCGCAACAAACAUGUAUAUUAAUUGUCUCAUUAGCUUUUUAUGUUUUAUGAUCUAUAAAAAUUU
rnacentral:lncRNA from 1 species